rnacentral:rRNA from 1 species
UACGUAGGCAGCGAGCGUUGUUCGGAGUUACUGGGCGUAAAGCGCGCGUAGGCGGACCUGCAAGUCGGGGGGUGAAAAGCCCGAGGCUCAACCCUCGGAACUGCCUUCGAUACUGCGGGUCUCGAGUCCGGGAGAGGUGAGUGGAAUUCCUAGUGUAGAGGUGAAAUUCGUAGAUAUUAGGAAGAACACCAGUGGCGAAGGCGGCUCACUGGCCCGGUACUGACGCUGAGGCGCGAAAGCGUGGGGAGCAAACAGG